UACCCAUACUGUGGACACUUUCUGAGUAGUCCCUUGAACCUUUUCCAUGCCUUAUAAAGAGAUUCACUUUCCUUAUGCUCAAAAGAAGUUAUAUCAGCCUUCAGCUU